CCUAUGUGCGAAAAGAAGAUUAUUUGUAGUUGAAGAACUCAAAGACAAAACAUUCAAAUGAAGUUUACAUAAUGUUUACCUCUUCAAUUUUUUCUUUUGUUUUGAAAUGCGCUUACCCAGCCUAUGGUGCAAAUGAUAUUAGAAACUAAAAAUUCAAGCAUCGCACAACAUUGAAGAGAAAAAUAUAUAUCAAACAGAUUUAAAACCAUCUAUACCUGAAGAUAAAAUCACUGAUAUAAAACUUCCAUGUCCUAGUUCCAAACAAAAACAACUUCAACAAAAAUUGAUAGAAAUAAGCAAAAUUUAAAGAAGCUUCUCAUCAACUGGAAAACUGAAAAGAAGUAUGAACUACUGGUGUUAACUGAAUCAGCUCUUUCCUCUGUCCUCUCAACUCAUCUUCAAUUCCUCUCACUCAUCAUGAAAAGUAUACCUUACUUUAUAAAUUGUAAGUAAGUCUUAAUGUGACCGACUUGAUUCAUGUUGAAGUUAAACCCUUGUUUUAGAUAGAAAAUACAACAAAGGCCAAGGUUGUCAUAAGUUCAUCAAUAAACAGAAAACAUGAAUGUUCCAGAAUUAAAUAAAAAAAGUUGCAAGAAUAUAUCUGAAAAUAUACCUGCAGAGUUGCAAGGUUGUCAAUAACCUCCCUUUCAUGUCUCAAUUAACUUUCUUCUCUCUUUUUUCUCACCUCUUACCUGCACCAAUGAACUAUAUAAACAAACUUGAUAAAAAAAAUGUGGUUAUUCUAGAUGCUCAUUAAUCUGUUGAUCCAUUGAAUGAGGUUAUUGCCAGCCAAUGUCAACCCAUUUUUCCUCAAGUGGAGCUUAGAUUGCUCUAGUUUAAAGACAUAAAAUCAAUACACCUUAUAAUCUAAAGAGGAUCAUUUUUCCUAUCACUUCUCUAUUACUAUCGGAAGAUAUAACUCUUCUCUUUGUGAAAUUGCUCAAAGGGAUAAACUUUUAUAUUAUACUUUUGCUCAAUGGACUCAUGAUCUGGCAUUUUCUUCCUUGCUCAAUUGAUGUUCUUCAUGACAUAAAAUAGUAAUCAUGAUCAAUUAAAAGUGGAAGAACUCUCACACCAUGACAUUUAAGAGUUAUUAAGAAGAUCCCUCUAACACUCAUGGUUUCUCAAGGUCUUAGAGAGUAUAUAACUAUACAUGCCAUUUCAUAAUAUGGUUUUGAUCAAUAAGAGAGAAAUUUGAACAUGGAUGAUAAUUAGAAUCUUCAAGACACGUGAAUAUUGUACAUACAGACCAAACAAAAGGAUCACUUAGUUUUUGAAGCUUACCCUUGAAUACAGCACUUGGAAACCUUGUCCUCUUGUGAUAAACAAAAAUAAAAGGAUCAAUUACUUGAAGGUUUUACAACAGUUAAGGUCGAGUGCUAAAUGCUUAUUAAUUUGAAGAUGAUUAAAUAACUUCAUAGUGAGACCAAGAACUCAUCUUUUCUAAUUGCCUGCAUAUACAUUAUGUGUGAGGUGAUUGAAGAAUUGUUUAUCUGAAGGUUAAACGGUUCUGAGUAGUCGAGCUUGCUAGUAAUAAUAAACUUUAUCUCCCUUCUUCCUAUAUGUUGGAUGCCAAAACAUUUGUCCCAUAAAAAGGCCACAUAUCUAUCUGUUCAUCUAUACCUGCAUAAGAAUUUAAAGAACCUUCUCCUUCUAGAUAUUCUCUCUUCAGGUGACUAUCUGUGAAACACAUAGUUAUUGAUAAAUUAUCCAUAACACGGAAAACCAUUCAUAAGAGAACAGAAGCUGCAACAUUCCUGAAAAUAAAGAAGCAAUGAGUUGCAUCACAUUUGUUAACUAAUGUCCACCUUUUAAAUGUAGCAUUAUGAUCAACACCUUAAUAUCUUGCAUCAUAUUCCGAAGGGUACAAAUCAUUAUGAUGCAGAUUCUCAAUACAUAUGAGAAAACACAUAAAUUGCCAAUACAUGUUAUUAUGGAACAUUAAGUUCUAUCAGGAUAUUCAUAUUAUGUGAAUGACUUUCAGAGCUGGUUUGUUAAAACGACAGGCAAAGUUCUUUCUAUGUCUGUGAAAACUUUGGUUUCGGGAUAGAAGGUUAUGAUGAAAUGAAGUUGUGUUUUAAACUCGAAAUGUAAUGCUUAAAUUAGCUCAGAGUAUGUUUUAGAAGUAUAUACUGAAUUAAACUCAUCACAAUUACAAACCUACUGCCAAGCAAAAUAUGAUCACACUCAUUUGGCUUGCCAUGUGUGGGCAUGUCUGUAUUUACAUAGAUCAUUAGCCUUAUGAGUUUGUUCAUUUCUUUUUAUUUACUCUAUUAACUGAAGAUUGUUGUAAAUAGAUAUUAUUUAGUGGGCAUUCUUGUAAUUAACCGACUAGGGUUGUUAUUGUAAUUUACAUCAUGGUCUCAUCUCUAUAUAAGAGAUGGAUCCCUACUCAAUAAGAUAGACAUAUUCUCUUAUUCUCUUGGUUGUUUCUCUCCUUUCUCAAUCUAUUCUUUUUGUUUUACAACACGUUAUCAGCACGAAUAGUUCUAAUAUUAUCUUGUUUUCUAUUGCAUGUGAAGCUCUAAAAGCAAAGAAUGAUCUUUCAAUUUGAUUCAUCGAAUUCGCUCUACAUUGACAUGGAAAGCUUUGAAAUCGAUGAUCAACCAUAUGAGGAUCAUUAUCUAACCAAGUUAUUGGAUUGGCUGAGUAGCUCCACAAAUGACAUUCUCCGUUCUACACAUAAAAGAUGGAGAUUAUCCGUUCUGCAAUGAGUAACGUUUUCUUAUCUUAAUUCCAAUUCAUAUUUGCUAGCCUUGAUUAUAUGAUGAACAAAUCACCAUGAAGCAUGAACCCAUUGUCUUUGGUUGCAUUUUGAAAUCUAUAUACGAUGCAUGAAGACCUAAAUUUAUAUUCUUAAUUUAUUCAGAUGAUAAAUACGUAUGUGGUAUAUAAAUUUGUUCAUGUUUUGUGAUUGAAAUAGAAGACAUAAAAAUCUUCAGGGAGGCCAGUAGCCACCGAAAUAAGCCCAAUCGCAUGCCUAGUAGUGCAUACCAAAAAACGCAAGGAUGAACGAACUUCAGACCCACUAUCAUUCUCUGACAUUCGAACACAAGAGCUUGAAUGCAUUCUGGAAGUAAUGCAUGUAACCGGUAAUGUAGGACCAUUAAUGUUGUCAUUUAUAUCAACGGUUACAUAUAUGGAAUAUUUAUGCCUGAAGCAUUUAGUGAUACAAAUUAACAUUGCUCAUAAUGAGAUUUGAAUAAAAUCCAUUUAGAAAUGUAACGUCAUUUGUAUAUAUAAUGACGCGUAACACUGAUUAUGUUACUUAAUUGUGACUUAAUAUAUACGUUUUGUCAGUUACAGAUUUGAAUUGUGUCAAAUUCAAUGUCAUUUAAGGGCAUAUAAUGCCGGAAGCAUUUAAGGGCUUGUAUAAAGACGUUAUAACUGGAAGCAUUUAAGGGCAUGUAAUGCCGGAAGCAUUUACCAAGUUAUAACCCAUCUAUUAUGACACAAGCAUUAUGGGUCAAAUUAUUGUGCAAAUUACGAUAAAGACAUUAUGAGUUUAAUCUUCGGUUAUACCAAUUUAAAUUAUGUUAUUAUAAUCCAUUAUGCUAGAAGCAUGAAUUUUAGUAUAAUCCAUUAUGCUAGAAGCAUGAAUUUUAUUAUAAUCCAUUAUGCCAGAAGUAUUUAUCCAAUUUAAUACCUAUAUGUAAUGCUAGAAGCAUUAAUGAGAUUUGUACUCAUUGUCUUUGGUACAUACUUAACCACUGCAUAAAUGAUAUUUAUUUAGUAAUUUAUGCCAUAUAUUAAAUGUCGGUUAAUUUCCAAAUUCAAAUUGCGUCAGUUUUAUUUAAUCAAUUCUCAAUUAUGUUAUCAUUUAUAUGAAUUGUUAUGGGGAUGUAAUGACGCAUUUUGCCGGAAGCAAUUAAUGAUGCAAAUGAAUUUAUUUUGCACGUAACCACUACGGUGUUGACAUUUAUUGGUUUAGUAAAUACCAAUUGUAUUGCAUAUACAUUAUCUCAAUGAGAAUUAAAUUGAUUCCGUUAUAAUUUAAUUUAUUUCGGUUUCAUAUAAUUUCUUUCACAUUAAGUUUGUCUGUUACGAUUUAAUAAAAUAUAUUGCAUUGGUUUAUCUUAUAUUGGUGAAUAUUAAUGAUGUUAAGUUAGAAGCUUAAAUCAAGCCUGUAUAUGCACGAAAUUGAGCCAGAAGCUUGAUGCAAGCUACAAGGCUAGCACAGAAGCUCACCAUGUGUCGCCAUGAGUCUAUACAAUGAUUAUAAUUCUUCUCAAACUAGGCUCACCCAGUUGGAUGCGAUGUCUAGGCAAGUACUUUUGAGGAUGUAUACUUAAGUGAGCCUCGCUCCACCACCUCAUCAUGGCUUACAUGGUCGUAUACAAUUGGAGUUACUGAAAGGGUUGAAUAAUAACAUUGCAUUUCUUGGUAGACCAUUCUUAGCCCAGUAGGCCUACUCUCCCUCUACGGGACCUAAAAGCCCAACAUACCUCUCAGAAAUGCCCCGUAGGCUUGUAAAGUAUGUAGAGGCUAGGUUUAUUUAUUUCACUUUAAUUACAGUCAAUUCCUUUGGUCUAGCAGAAUCAAACAAAAGGAAAAUAAUCUAAUGACACUAGUUUUUCGUACCUAGCAAUUAUGUAUGUCUAUAAGACUCUCCAAAUAUUUUCUCAUAAUGGCUGUUGUUAAUAUAUUCACCAUAUUUAAUGUGUAGUUAAUUGCCAGAAGCAUUUACACAUAGUUACGUGACAUAGUCACUAUGCUAAAUUAGUAGCAUGGAAUUAAUAUCAUCAAUUGCUACAUGAUUAUAAUUUGAAAAUAUAUGUACCUAAUGAAUCGGUAGUUCAAAAAUGAACCGGUAGUUCAGAAAUGAACCAGUGGUUCAUGAAUAAAUCGAACAUGUAGUUUCGAUAAUUACCCCCUUAAGGAACUUGAAGUUUCAUUCUAAAAUUCACCAGAUAUGAUCACAUCGGUAGCUUUUAUCAUGUUAAUUGGUAGUCUCCAGAAGUAACUAUUUGAAGUAGACAUCUUCCUUACCUGAAGCAAAUCAUAAUUAGAGAAUAUUGAAAUGAAAAGGCUUAAUGCCCUAGAAUCUAAAUCAAAAUUGAUUUGUGUUAUCAAUAUUAAGGAACUGAGCAUUCUCGUUUGGCUGAUGAGGCAAAAUACCUCUAUGUUUCAAAAGAACGUUAUUGAAAGGUAAGUUCAUUGAAACCAAUGCUUAAACGUUGAAACCACAAGAAAAAUGGUGUAAUAUCUUUGCAUAACCUUUGAAUGUGCGGCCAAAAGCGUACAUUGAAUAUAUUCAAAUUUAUUAGCUAGUAGCUAAAUGAUUCGAGCAAAUACUAGCUAUAGUAUUGGAGUUUGAUGCACCCAGGAAAAACAUAUGGUGCACCGUAUCCUUAACUCAAUUAUCACACAGGCAUCCCCCUCAGAAUAAUGGUCUUCUCUUUAAUGACACAUUAUGUCAAGCUGCUCGUUAAGAAUGUUGAAUAGUAGACCAUCACAUGCAAAGACUAGAAUAUAUACUAUCUCUUUAUGCACAGAAUGCAAUGGAAAAUACGUGGAACUAUCCAACCACCAUACGGACCAGUUAAAUAUUAAUGGUUUUGGUUGAUGCAUUGACAAAAGUGAUCAGAUGUCACAUUAUUGUCCACAUGAAAAUGCUGCGUUUGCUAAACUCUUACCCAUGAAAUAGAGGGUACAUCACUCGGAUUAUCCCAUAAAGUCUAUAAGACUUGAUAAUGCCGGAGAGUUUACAUCGAAGGUUUUCGAUGAUUAUUACAUAUCCCUUGGGUUUUGUAAAACAUAUAGUUUCUUAUGUUCAAACCUAAGAUGGUCUCGCAUAUAGAACCUUGGUAAUGCGCACCAAGCUUCUACUGUUUGCGUCGGGCUAUGCAAUCUUGCAUGCAGCCAUAUCGGUCCAGUUGAGGCCCACUGCUACCAGUCUUACUUCGUGUUACAGUUGGUGACUGGGUGUGAACCUGAUGAUUUUGCACUUACACGCAUUUGGGUUUGCAGUCUCCGUGCCAAUUGUGUCACCACAACGUACAAAAUCGGGUCCUCAACAAAGGAUGGGCAUAUAUGUCGAUUAUGAACCCUAUCCAUUAUGUGCUCGUAAGAGCCCUUGACAGGAGAUCUCUAUACCGCUAGAUUUGCGGUCGUCACUUUGAUGAGACAGUUUUCCCGCCGUUAGGGGGAGAUAAGAAUGUGAGCAUUCCUGAUGAACGACGUGUAGAAUGUCUCAUCUUGAUCCCCAAACCGCACAUGUGAAAUUGAAGUGCGAAGAAUUCUACUUCUAGUUGAAGUGCAAAGAAUCCUAGAUCUACGUAGUGUAGCCCAUAAUAUGCUACACACUUCACUAGAUCUAGUUAAAGUGACAAGAUCAUAUAUACCUGCUGCAAACCUGCAAGGAUAAAUGUCCCCGUAGGACGUAUCGUUCUAGUUGGACGAGGUACGGCCAUGGCGGCUAACCAGUCAUAGUCCCUGCCCAGAAGCGAGGUAGACCAUUAGGUUCGAACGAUUCUUAUCCCUAGAAGAGGGUAAACUUGGCACAAAUGAAUCUUCUUGCCAUCGCAAUCUCAAACCAAUUCAACUCACGAGAUAAAUCCGGAUUAUGGGUUCGUCCUAGAAGAGACGAAUUUGGGGGACGCUCCAACAUUUAAACCCACUCCCGAGAAUAGAAAAUCUCGGUAAAUUUUGUGAGAUAUUGAAUCGGAAUGAGAAUUCAUCGAUGAUAUGUUUGUAUUUGCGGUGGCCACCAAAUUUAUAAUAAGCGAUGAUGUCGAACCUUACUCUGUUGAUAGAUCUCAACGAAGAGACGACUGGCUAAAAAGGAAAGAAACAAUCCAGGUCAAAUCAGAUUCCUUAACUAAGAGAAAGGUGUUAUGGGCCUGUUGUUCCCACAUCUACCCACGUUAAACCUAUAUUGUUUAGAUGGGUAUUUGUAAGGAAGCGUAAUGAGAAAAACGAGAUUGUGAUAUAAGUCUCGUUUAGUGGCGCAAGGAUUUUCUCAACGCCCUGCGAUUGAUUACGAGGAGAAGUAUUUUCCCGUAAUGGACGUCAUAACGUUCCACUACCUUAUCAGUUUGGUAGUUUCCAAAUAACUGAAUAAGCAGCCUAUGAAUGUGGUAAAUACUUAUCUCUAUGGGGAUUUGAAUAUAGAGAUAUACAUGAAGUUUCCUGAAGGACUUUUGUUACCCAAUGCAAAUAGUUCUAGACCACAGAACAUGCUCUCCAUUUGCUAGAGUAGUUCACUUUAGGGGUUCAAAGAAUCCAGACGGAGUUGGUAUAAUCGUCUAAGUGAAUAUUUGCUUGGGGUGGGAUAUAUGAACAAAUAGAUUAUGUCCAUGCGUGUUUUAAGGAAACAAAUUCCGGGUUUGUAAUUUGUGAUAAUUUAUGUCAAUGACAUGAAUUUGACUGAUACUCUUAAAGAGAUUAAGGAAACUGCAAAACACCUGAAAUCAGAGUUUGAGAUGAAUGUCUUUAGGAGACUAAAUAUUAUUUUGUCGACCUGAAGUCGUGCAAAGUGCAGAUGGAAUUUUGGUCAAUCAAUCAAAUUAAAUCUAGAAGAUGUUAAGAUACUUUGAUGAGGAUAAACCAAAGUAUUUAAGCACACCUAUAGUCGUCCGAGGUCUAAAGACACCCAUAUUAUCGUGCAGAUAAUAACGAAGAGAUAUUGAGGCCAGAAGACUCAUAUCUAAGUAUAAUAGGUGCAUUAUUGUACUUGGUUAAAUGGCCUUGACCGGACAUCUUAUCUGAUGUGAAUUUGUUAGCUAGAUAUAGCUUUGCGUCAACACGCCGCCUCCGUAAAUGGCAUAAAAGACAAUUUUCCGUUACUUUAAAUGUAUGACGGAAAAUGGCUCGUUCUAUCCCUAGGCAUUAUGGAAUGGAUCGACCGCCUAUGAUCCUUGGAAUGAUGUUUGCCUUGUUAAAUAUGCUAACACGGGUUAUGUAAACCCACACAAGGCUUAUUCCCAACUGGUUAUGUCUUUACUAUAGGGAAUACAAUAAUCUUAGAGGUAUAUGAAACAAAAACCUCUUUAAAUCAUGUUGACUAUUAAGUUAUUCAAGAAGCAUGAUCAAUGUAGUAGUUUUACCUAGUGUGUAGUUUUCAGGGGGAGUCAAUAUUAGGGGGAGUAUCCUGAAGCAUACUCUUGACCAUUGUGUACUAUUUUUGUCCUUCGUCCAGGGUUAUUUUGUCCCACUGGGUUUUGUUACCUGGCAAAGUUUUAAUGAGGCACACAUGUAAUUAGUCACCUUGCUCAUGCUGCAUCUUGAAGAUGCCUUUAUUUGAAAUAUAUGCAUUUGCUCAUCUUUUCCCUUCGACCACGGGUUUGUCCCACUGGGUUUACCGGGCAAGGUUUUGGUGUAGCAACUAUUAUGCAUCUAUCUCCCACAGACUCACAUCUUAUGAUCCAGACUAAACCGUUUGACCGAAAUCAAGGGUUCUGACUAUCAUUGCUACUUGUGUGUUGUACUCUUUUCUCCUUCGACCAGGAUUUUUUUUGUCCCAUAGGGUUUUUAUUACUUGGCAAGGUUUUGACGAGGCAACACCGAAGCACAUAUUAGAGGAAGCUAAUGACAGAGAAUACCCAAGGGGGAGUGUUGUAAAUAGAUAUUAUUUAGUGGGCAUUCUUGUAAUUAGCCGACUAGGGUUGUUAUUGUAAUUUACAUCAUGGUCUCAUCUCUAUAUAAGAGAUGGAUCCCUACUCAAUAAGAUAGACAUAUUCUCUCAUUCUCUUGGUUGUUUCUCUCCUUUCUCAAUCUAUUCUUUUUGUUUUACAACAAAGAUGACCUACAUGUAUUUGAAAUAUUUGAAUUGGAUAUCAAACUAAAUGAAAUUUGAGAGCAUUACACAUACCUUGAGAACUGACGAAUUGGAUAUCACCCCAAAGAAUCCAGAACCAAGAAUCAACAGUAGACACCGUAGUGACCACCAAACAGGACCUGAAAAAAGAUCACCAGAAGAAAACCUUAAUAUGUAAAAAGAUCAGAAAACACAGUAUCAAACUAUGGAAGUAACUAAUUAGUUAUCUAUUGCUACUAAAUGAAUGAAAGUCGGCCAGUCUUGCUUGUCUCGGCUUGCAACUCAGUUCCAACUAAAUCAUGUAAAUACCAUUAUAAUCAUACAUUCUAACAUUAACCGCCCCCUUUUGUCAGAUUAUAAUUUUGAUGCUACCAUUAUAUACAGUAAACCAAGAAGGAAAAAAAAGAAGAAAAAAUAACAUAAUAAUGCUGAUCUUUACACACACAUGCUACCAUUACCUCUUGUCUGAACAUCAAGGGUAAUGCUUGCACUACCGAGUCAAUUUAUUGAAGGCUCGUGAUGUGAAGGUGGAAACAAAGAACACAAACUUGCUCCAAUGCCAGCUGAAAUGUCCAACAAAAUAAGUGAAUUAUACAAGGGUAUCUGAGAAUUUGCAGGUUAAUUGAUAUUGAACAAAGGGGCUCCUUAGAGUUAGAAUGUAACUCAGUAAAUCAAUUCCAAACAUAGCAAAUUGGAACCUGAACUCUAUAACUAUCCUUUUACAACAAUUGAAAUACAAUAUGACCAUAAAGAAGUUUAGUAGUAUGUAUAUUGAGUCAUUCCCUUCAUCAGUUUUAAUCACUUAAUUACAUACAACAAAAUAGAACCCAUAGUAGUAGUACUAACCUGGACUCCUAUUCGCUUUUCAUCCCUCCUCUUUUUCCCAAAUCUAGACUUCUUGUUUUACCUCUAUGGAAUCCCAGAAAAUAAAACUUUGUAUUAGUCGUAAUUGAAGGAAAUUGAUGACAUGAAUGUCAAAGAGUAAACAAAUUUUAUAGACUUGCAAAUGCAAAACUCACCAUAUGUGCAAAAUAAA
rnacentral:lncRNA from 1 species